AUUGAACGCUGGCGGCAUGCCUUACACAUGCAAGUCGAACGGCAGCACGGGAGCAAUCCUGGUGGCGAGUGGCGAACGGGUGAGUAAUAUAUCGGAACGUGCCCAGUCGUGGGGGAUAACGUAGCGAAAGCUACGCUAAUACCGCAUACGAUCUAUGGAUGAAAGCGGGGGGAUCGCAAGACCUCGCGCGAUUGGAGCGGCCGAUAUCAGAUUAGGUAGUUGGUGGGGUAAAAGCCUACCAAGCCUUCGAUCUGUAGCUGGUCUGAGAGGACGACCAGCCACACUGGAACUGAGACACGGUCCAGACUCCUACGGGAGGCAGCAGUGGGGAAUUUUGGACAAUGGGCGCAAGCCUGAUCCAGCAAUGCCGCGUGCAGGAUGAAGGCCUCGGUUGU
rnacentral:rRNA from 1 species